UAAAUGGAUUUUUUCAUAUCCACCAUAAUUUUCGAAAAAUCUUAAU
rfam:Trachymyrmex zeteki contig10295, whole genome shotgun sequence.